UACGAAGGGGGCUAGCGUUGUUCGGAAUUACUGGGCGUAAAGCGCGCGUAGGCGGCGACCUUUGUCAGAGGUGAAAUCCCGAGGCUCAACUUCGGAAUUGCCUUUGAAACGGGGUUGCUUGAGUCCGAGAGAGGAUGGCGGAAUUCCUAGUGUAGAGGUGAAAUUCGUAGAUAUUAGGAAGAACACCGGUGGCGAAGGCGGCCAUCUGGCUCGGUACUGACGCUCAGGCGCGAAAGCGUGGGGAGCAAACAGG
rnacentral:rRNA from 1 species